AUUGAACGCUGGCGGCAUGCCUUACACAUGCAAGUCGAACGGUAACGGGCCUUCGGGUGCCGACGAGUGGCGAACGGGUGAGUAAUACAUCGGAACGUGCCCGAUCGUGGGGGAUAACGAGGCGAAAGCUUUGCUAAUACCGCAUACGAUCUACGGAUGAAAGCAGGGGACCGCAAGGCCUUGCGCGGACGGAGCGGCCGAUGGCAGAUUAGGUAGUUGGUGGGAUAAAAGCUUACCAAGCCGACGAUCUGUAGCUGGUCUGAGAGGAUGAUCAGCCACACUGGGACUGAGGCACGGCCCAGACUCCUACGGGAGGCAGCAGUGGGGAAUUUUGGACAAAGGGCGCAAGCCUGAUCCAGCCAUGCCGCGUGCAGGAUGAAGGCCUUCGGGUUGUAAACUGCUUUUGUACGGAACGAAAAGCCUUCUUUUAAUACAGGAGGGUCAUGACGGUACCGUAAGAAUAAGCACCGGCUAACUACGUG
rnacentral:rRNA from 1 species